rnacentral:rRNA from 1 species
AACGAACGCUGGCGGCAUGCCUAACACAUGCAAGUCGAACGAGACCUUCGGAUCUAGUUGCUCUCGGGUGCGUAACGCGUGGGAACCUUCCCGUAGGUUCCGAAUAACUCUUCGUAAGGGGUGCUAAUAUCGGAAAAUGUCUUCGGACCAAAGAUUUAUCGUGUUUGGAGGGGCCCGAGUUGGAUUAGCUUGUUGGUAUCGUAAAAGCCUAUCAAGGCUACGAUCCAUAGCUGGUAUGAGAGGAAGAUCAGCCACACUGAGAGUGAGAAACGGCGGGGACUCGUGCAGAAGGGAGCAGUGCGGAAUAUUGGAAGAUGGGGGAGGGCAAGAUGGAGUAAUGCCGGGAAAGUGAUGUAGGCGUGAAGGAUGUGAAGCACGUUUACACGGGAUGAUAAUGACGGUACCGGAAGAAUAAGCUCCGGCUAACUCCGUG